GUACUAGAUUGGUCGAAAGGCUAAUUGAUGACC
rnacentral:misc_RNA from 1 species